UCUACACAUGUAGUGGGAGUGGAAACUCACUAUGCCUACUUGGGAAGAGAUUUUUGGGGUUAUCUCUGCCUUGACGUUUGUAUUUAACCCUCAUCCGAACAUAGCUUUACUUCAUUGUGGUUUAACAAUUUUAUCAUCAACACUGAGGAGUUUGGUCAUUCACGUGCUGUGGCCAUGAAGCUUAUAAUUAAAUAUAUAAGUUGGGGAGAGGUAGAAAAACAGAUUGACCAUGUAGCUAUGAUGGAAAAAGUAUUUUUUUUAUCUCUCCGCGUAAAUUAGAAGGAUUUUAUAAGAUAUGGCAUCCUUGGUACACUAAAUUCCCAGAAAGGAAUUCGUUUCCUGUUAGCUUUACCAAGGAACCGAAUGACUAACGGAGGACCAGAGUAGGGUGCACAUUGAAAAUUGUGAAGGUUGCCUGUCUAUAAAAGGUUUUGUUGUUAGGUAUAGGAAAAGUAGUGCUCCUUGUUACUAAAUUUAUGGUAGGGGUUUUUCGCAAUUGUUUCUUUUGCGAUUCCUUGUUGAUAAAUAUUAAAUGCAGUGGUCUUUACUACAAUAUUUAGCAGAGAUUAACACUUAAAAGGCUGCAUAAUAAGUGUCACAAUACCCAUCAGGUAAAUAGCCUGAGAUGUCUGCAUUACAUGAACAUAUACUUUUGGGUGGCAGUUGUUUUAUGUGAUGACUAUUAGGCUUACAAGACGAACAUACCAACUUCUAUAAUUGCCCGACACUGAACUCACAUUUUACUCCCUGUAUUUUGUGACUACCAUAAAUAAAUCGGGACACAAAAAUGAAUUUAUUCUGCAUUACUUUUCAUAAGCUGCACUAAUUAUAAACAUAUUAUUAUUGCCAAUACUGUGGGGAAAGAAAGGUUUUU